AAUCAGCGAGUCGCAGAUCCUAUACCAGUUUUACUCCCGGUGAUAAAGAAUGUAAUAUGUGUCAUAUCACCACGAAGUUAAACCGGUAUAGGUUCUGGCUCUUUCA
rnacentral:pre_miRNA from 14 species